rnacentral:rRNA from 1 species
GACGAACGCUGGCGGCGUGCCUAAUACAUGCAAGUCGAACGCAGUGGGGACGGGUGAGUAACACGUGGGUAACCUCCCAUCAGAGGGGAUAACACUUGGAAACAGGUGCUAAACCGAUACUGAUGGAUGAACCCGCGGUGCAUUAGCUAGUUGGUGAGGUAACGGCUCACCAAGGCCACGAUGCAUAGCCGCCCGGAGGGGGGGAUAGGCCACACGGGGAAUGGGACACGGCCCAGAGUCGUAGGGAAGGAAGCAGUGGGGAAUCUUCGGCAAUGGACGAAAGUCAGACCGAGCAACGAGGCGUGAGUAAGGAAGGUUUUGGGAUCGUAAAACUCGGUGGUUAGAGAAACGGUAUCUAACCAGAAAGCGACGGCUAACUACGUGCCAGCAGCCGCGGUAAUAC